AUGAACGCUAGCGACAGGCUUAACACAUGCAAGUCGAGGGGCAGCACUGGUAGCAAUACCGGGUGGCGACCGGCGCACGGGUGAGUAACGCGUAUGCAACUUACCUAUCAGAGGGGGAUAACCCGGCGAAAGUCGGACUAAUACCGCAUGAAGCAGGGGCCCCGCAUGGGGAUAUUUGCUAAAGAUUCAUCGCUGAUAGAUAGGCAUGCGUUCCAUUAGGCAGUUGGCGGGGUAACGGCCCACCAAACCGACGAUGGAUAGGGGUUCUGAGAGGAAGGUCCCCCACAUUGGUACUGAGACACGGACCAAACUCCUACGGGAGGCAGCAGUGAGGAAUAUUGGUCAAUGGGCGUAAGCCUGAACCAGCCAAGUCGCGUGAGGGAUGAAGGUUCUAUGGAUCGUAAACCUCUUUUAUAAGGGAAUAAAGUGCGGGACGUGUCCCGUUUUGUAUGUACCUUAUGAAUAAGGAUCGGCUAACUCCGUGCCAGCAGCCGCGGUAAUACGGAGGAUCCGAGCGUUAUCCGGAUUUAUUGGGUUUAAAGGGUGCGUAGGCGGCCUUUUAAGUCAGCGGUGAAAGUCUGUGGCUCAACCAUAGAAUUGCCGUUGAAACUGGGGGGCUUGAGUAUGUUUGAGGCAGGCGGAAUGCGUGGUGUAGCGGUGAAAUGCUUAGAUAUCACGCAGAACCCCGAUUGCGAAGGCAGCCUGCCAAGCCAUGACUGACGCUGAUGCACGAAAGCGUGGGGAUCAAACAGGAUUAGAUACCCUGGUAGUCCACGCAGUAAACGAUGAUCACUAGCUGUUUGCGAUACAGUGUAAGCGGCACAGCGAAAGCGUUAAGUGAUCCACCUGGGGAGUACGCCGGCAACGGUGAAACUCAAAGGAAUUGACGGGGGCCCGCACAAGCGGAGGAACAUGUGGUUUAAUUCGAUGAUACGCGAGGAACCUUACCCGGGUUUGAACGCAUUCGGACCGAGGUGGAAACACCUUUUCUAGCAAUAGCCGUUUGCGAGGUGCUGCAUGGUUGUCGUCAGCUCGUGCCGUGAGGUGUCGGCUUAAGUGCCAUAACGAGCGCAACCCUUGCCACUAGUUACUAACAGGUGAUGCUGAGGACUCUGGUGGGACUGCCAGCGUAAGCUGCGAGGAAGGCGGGGAUGACGUCAAAUCAGCACGGCCCUUACAUCCGGGGCGACACACGUGUUACAAUGGCGUGGACAAAGGGAAGCCACCUGGCGACAGGGAGCGAAUCCCCAAACCACGUCUCAGUUCGGAUCGGAGUCUGCAACCCGACUCCGUGAAGCUGGAUUCGCUAGUAAUCGCGCAUCAGCCACGGCGCGGUGAAUACGUUCCCGGGCCUUGUACACACCGCCCGUCAAGCCAUGGGAGCCGGGGGUACCUGAAGUCCGUAACCGAAAGGAUCGGCCUAGGGUAAAACUGGUGACUGGGGCU
rnacentral:rRNA from 1 species